UGGGGAAUAUUGCACAAUGGGCGAAAGCCUGAUGCAGCAACGCCGCGUGCGGGAUGACGGCCUUCGGGUUGUAAACCGCUUUCAGCAGGGACGAAGGUUUUCUGACGGUACCUGCAGAAGAAGCACCGGCUAACUACGUGCCAGCAGCCGCGGUGAUACGUAGGGUGCGAGCGUUGUCCGGAAUUAUUGGGCGUAAAGAGCUUGUAGGCGGUCCGUUGCGUCGGAAGUGAAAACUCAGGGGCUUAACCCCUGAGCCUGCUUUCGAUACGGGCGGACUUGAGGGAUGUAGGGGAGAACGGAAUUCCUGGUGGAGCGGUGGAAUGCGCAGAUAUCAGGAGGAACACCAGUGGCGAAGGCGGUUCUCUGGACAUUUCCUGACGCUGAGAAGCGAAAGCGUGGGGAGCAAACAGGCUUANAUACCCUGGUAGUCCACGCCGUAAACGGUGGCACUAGGUGUGGGACCCAUUCCACGGGUUCCGUGCCGUAGCUAACGCAUUAAGUGCCCCGCCUGGGGAGUACGGCCGCAAGGCUAAAACUC
rnacentral:rRNA from 1 species